UGGGGAAUUUUGGACAAUGGGCGCAAGCCUGAUCCAGCAAUGCCGCGUGCAGGAUGAAGGCCUUCGGGUUGUAAACUGCUUUUGUACGGAGCGAAAAGGUCUGCCCUAAUACGGUGGGCUCAUGACGGUACCGUAAGAAUAAGCACCGGCUAACUACGUGCCAGCAGCCGCGGUAAUACGUAGGGUGCGAGCGUUAAUCGGAAUUACUGGGCGUAAAGCGUGCGCAGGCGGUUAUAUAAGACAGAGGUGAAAUCCCCGGGCUCAACCUGGGAACUGCCUUUGUGACUGCAUAGCUAGAGUACGGUAGAGGGGGAUGGAAUUCCGCGUGUAGCAGUGAAAUGCGUAGAUAUGCGGAGGAACACCGAUGGCGAAGGCAAUCCCCUGGACCUGUACUGACUCUCAUGCACGAAAGCGUGGGGAGCAAACA
rnacentral:rRNA from 1 species